rnacentral:sRNA from 1 species
AAAAGUUGAUUAUACACCUCUCCGAGUGUUUGGUACAGCCUGCUACCCCUGCUUGAGACCGUUAGCAAAGAACAAGUUUGAUCCACGCUCGUUGCAAUGCGUGUUUCUUGGCUAUCACAACCAAUACAAGGGAUACCGCUGUUUGUAUCCUCCUACCGGUAAAGUCUACAUCUCUAGACAUGUCAUUUUUGAUGAAGCUCAAUUCCCAUUUAAAGAAAAGUACCACAGUCUGGUUCCAAAAUACCAGACGACCUUACUACAGGCUUGGCAACAUACUGAUCUCACACCACCUUCAGUGCCUUCUUCUCAAUUACAACCUCUUGCAAGACAAAUGACUCCUAUGGCAACAAGUGAGAAUCAGCCAAUGAUGAAUUAUGAGACAGAGGAAGCCGUCAAUGUUAAUAUGGAAACUAGCUCUGAUGAGGAAACUGAAUCAAAUGAUGAAUUUGACCACGAAGUAGCUCCCGUACUAAAUGAUCAAAAUGAAGACAAUGCACUAGGACAAGGCUCAUUAGAAAAUCUCCAUCCCAUGAUUACAAGAUCAAAAGAUGGAAUUCAGAAGCCAAACCCCCGGUAUGCUCUCAUUGUCUCUAAAUCCUCUUUUGAUGAACCAAAAACUAUUACUACUGCUAUGAAGCAUCCUAGCUGGAACGCUGCAGUUAUGGAUGAGAUAGAUCGCAUUCACAUGCUAAACACUUGGUCUCUAGUUCCUGCAACAGAGGACAUGAAUAUUCUGACAUCCAAAUGGGUUUUCAAGACUAAACUCAAACCUGAUGGCACCAUAGAUAAGUUGAAAGCUCGUCUAGUUGCCAAAGGGUUUGAUCAAGAAGAAGGAGUCGACUAUCUUGAGACAUUCAGUCCGGUUGUUCGAACUGCAACUAUACGUCUUGUUCUCGAUACCGCUACUGCAAAUGAGUGGCCUCUCAAACAGCUUGAUGUGUCCAACGCGUUUCUCCAUGGAGAAUUACAAGAACCGGUGUUUAUGUUCCAACCCUCUGGUUUUGUUGAUCCUAACAAGCCUAAUCACGUUUGUCGGCUCACCAAAGCUCUUUAUGGUCUAAAACAAGCGCCUAGAGCCUGGUUUGACACCUUUAGCAACUUUCUUCUUGACUUUGGCUUUGAGUGCAGCACAUCUGAUCCUUCCCUCUUCGUUUGUCAUCAAAAUGGGCAAAGUCUCAUACUCCUCUUAUAUGUCGACGAUAUACUCCUCACAGGAAGUGAUCAACUGCUCAUGGAUAAACUUCUUCAAGCUCUCAACAACCGCUUUUCGAUGAAAGAUCUUGGGCCUCCUCGCUAUUUUUUGGGUAUAGAAAUUGAAUCUUACAACAAUGGUCUAUUUUUACAUCAACACGCAUACGCUUCCGACAUUCUUCAUCAAGCAGGCAUGACAGAAUGCAACCCUAUGCCUACCCCUCUGCCACAACACUUGGAAGACCUCAAUUCAGAACCCUUUGAAGAGCCAACAUACUUUCGGAGUUUAGCUGGCAAGUUACAAUACUUAACAAUCACAAGACCGGAUAUUCAAUAUGCCGUGAACUUCAUCUGCCAAAGAAUGCACGCUCCGACCAACUCUGAUUUUGGCCUUCUCAAACGCAUACUCAGGUAUGUGAAAGGAACUAUCAACAUGGGGCUUCCAAUCAGAAAACACCACAACCCUGUUCUUUCGGGAUUUUGCGAUAGUGAUUACGCUGGCUGCAAGGACACUAGACGCUCCACUACUGGUUUCUGCAUCCUCUUGGGAUCUACUCUGAUAUCUUGGUCUGCAAAGAGACAACCCACUAUCUCUCACUCCUCAACAGAAGCCGAAUAUAGAGCUCUUUCCGAUACAGCUCGAGAAAUCACUUGGAUUUCCUCUCUUCUCCGAGAUCUUGGAAUCUCUCAACAUCAACCUACACGAGUGUUCUGUGAUAACCUAUCUGCUGUCUACCUCUCUGCAAAUCCUGCUCUUCAUAAACGAUCUAAACACUUCGAUAAAGACUUUCACUACAUCAGGGAACGUGUGGCUCUCGGUCUCAUAGAAACGCAACACAUCCCAGCAACUAUUCAACUUGCUGAUGUCUUCACCAAGUCACUACCGCGACGGCCCUUUAUCACGCUUAGAGCCAAACUCGGCGUGUCUGCGUCACCGGUCUCACCCACGCCAAGUUUGAAGGAGGGUGUAGAAGACAACCCAAUAAAUAGAACGGGCUUUGACAAAAACAAAGACAUGGUAGCCCAAACUCAACAAAGCCCACUACAGAAGCCCAGUCAACAUAUGCAAAAGAAGAUAAAGACCAAAAGCUCUUUACCUGCAAAACAGAAGACUGUCACUAAUACGGAGAAGAAGACAAUAACACUUGAAAACAAAUUCAAGCCGUUGCAGUCGCUGCCGUUGCAGUAAUUCACAAUAAAUAGCUAUUGAUUAAAGAUAGCAUUGUCAAGGAUUCUAGAUUGUUCUAAAGAAGUCUAUAAAAGAAAGAUGUAAAACUCCAUUGAAAGAUAAGCAAAAUAAAAACAUUUUUUGUCAAGAAAUAAUCACAGUUUUAUUUUUCUCUUCAGGAACAACUAAAAAACUGUAUUUAACUAAAACAAUUCAGAACUCCUUCAUACGACGUCGUUCUUUUGUUAAUUUUAAAUUUAAUUAAUGGGAAAAAUGUCAUUAAAAUCUUCAACUCAUUGCAAACAUUGAUUUAAAUCCUCAACUCUCGACGAAACAAAAUAAAUAUUUGACUUUCUA